rnacentral:rRNA from 1 species
AUUGAACGCUGGCGGCGUGCUUAACACAUGCAAGUCGAGCGGCAGCGGGCCCGCAAGGGUGCCGGCGAGCGGCGGACGGGUGAGCAAUACAUAGGAAUCUGCCUCAGAGCGGGGGAUAGCCAGGGGAAACCCUGAUUAAUACCGCAUGAUGUCGAAAGACCAAAGUGGGGGACCGUAAGGCCCCACACUCUGAGAUGAGCCUAUGUCGGAUUAGCUAGUGGCGGGGUAACGGCCCACCAAGGCGACGAUCCGUAGCUGGUCUGAGAGGACGAUCAGCCACACCGGAACUGAGACACGGUCCGGACUCCUACGGGAGGCAGCAGUUGGGGAAUAUUGGACAAUGGGCGAAAGCCUGAUCCAGCGACGCCGCGU